UGGCAGUGAUUAGAUCCUACCUGCGCUUCUGAUUAACCCGUGAAGCAAAAGGGAAAAAUUAAUGGUUGAAUUUCUUAAUAUGAGCUA
rfam:Brachypodium distachyon strain Bd21 chromosome 1, whole genome shotgun sequence.